CUCCGCUUGGUGUAGUUGGUUGUACGUUUCAAACCCUUAAUCUUAGAUAUUCACUUCAGUCGCUAAUAGCAAUGCUUAGUAUCACGUUCGACUGUAAUGUUUACGACUGUAAUCGAAAGGUCCCUAGUUCGAUUCUGGGAGCGGAGA